rnacentral:snRNA from 1 species
AUGGAGUAGGAGCUUGCUCCAUCCACUCCAUUUAUCAGCCCUGUAUUACAGACUCCAGGA